rnacentral:rRNA from 1 species
AUUGAACGCUGGCGGCAUGCCUUACACAUGCAAGUCGAACGGCAGCACGGGGGCAACCCUGGUGGCGAGUGGCGAACGGGUGAGUAACAUAUCGGAACAUACCCUAGAGUGGGGGAUAACGUAGCGAAAGUUACGCUAAUACCGCAUACGAUCUAAGGAUGAAAGUGGGGGAUCUUCGGACCUCAUGCUCAUGGAGUGGCCGAUAUCUGAUUAGCUAGUUGAUGAGGUAAAGGCUCACCAAGGCGACGAUCAGUAGCUGGUUUGAGAGAACGACCAGCCACACUGGAACUGAGACACGGCCCAGACUCCUACGGGAGGCAGCAGUGGGGAAUAUUGGACAAUGGGCGAAAGCCUGAUCCAGCCAUGCCGCGUGAGUGAUGAAGGCCUUAGGGUUGUAAAGCUCUUUCUACCCACGACGAUGAUGACGGUAGUGGGAGAAGAAGCCCCGGCUAACUUCGUGCCAGCAGCCGCGGUAAU